GAUGAACGCUGGCGGCGUGCCUAAUACAUGCAAGUCGAGCGAACAGACGAGGAGCUUGCUCCUCUGACGUUAGCGGCGGACGGGUGAGUAACACGUGGAUAACCUACCUAUAAGACUGGGAUAACUUCGGGAAACCGGAGCUAAUACCGGAUAAUAUAUUGAACCGCAUGGUUCAAUAGUGAAAGACGGUUUUGCUGUCACUUAUAGAUGGAUCCGCGCCGCAUUAGCUAGUUGGUAAGGUAACGGCUUACCAAGGCAACGAUGCGUAGCCGACCUGAGAGGGUGAUCGGCCACACUGGAACUGAGACACGGUCCAGACUCCUACGGGAGGCAGCAGUAGGGAAUCUUGCGCAAAGGGCGAAAGCCUGACGGAGCAACGCCGCGUGUGUGAUGAAGGUCUUCGGAUCGUAAAACUCUGUUAUUAGGGAAGAACAAAUGUGUAAGUAUCUAUGCACGUCUUGACGGUACCUAAUCAGAAAGCCACGGCUAACUACGUG
rnacentral:rRNA from 1 species